CGAACGCUGGCGGUAUGCUUAACACAUGCAAGUCGAACGAGAAAGCUUUCUUCGGAAAGUGAUUAGAGUGGCGCACGGGUGAGUAACACGUAGAUAACCUGCCUUCUAGUCUGGGAUAACCAUCUGAAAAGGUGGCUAAUACCGGAUAAUUACGAGUUUGCACAAGUAAACUCGUUGAAAGAUUUAUUGCUGGAAGAUGGGUCUGCGUACCAUUAGCUUGUUGGUAGGGUAAAGGCCUACCAAGGCUACGAUGGUUAGCGGGUCUGAGAGGAUGAUCCGUCACACUGGAACUGAGACACGGUCCAGACUCCUACGGGAGGCAGCAGUGGGGAAUUUUGCGCAAUGGGCGAAAGCCUGACGCAGCAAUACCGCGUGAGUGAAGAAGGCCUUUGGGUCGUAAAGCUCUUUUCUAAAGGAAGAUAAUGACGGUACUUUAGGAAUAAGAACCGGCUAACUCC
rnacentral:rRNA from 1 species